rnacentral:rRNA from 1 species
UACGUAGGGACCAAGCGUUGUUCGGAUUUACUGGGCGUAAAGGGCGCGUAGGCGGCCUAGCAAGUCACUUGUGAAAUCUCCGGGCUUAACUCGGAACUGCCAAGUGAAACUGCUGGGCUAGAGUGCAGAAGGGGCAAUCGGAAUCCUUGGUGUAGCGGUGAAAUGCGUAGAUAUCAAGAGGAACACCUGAGGUGAAGACGGGUUGCUGGGCUGACACUGACGCUGAGGCGCGAAAGCCAGGGGAGCAAACGGG